GCGUUAUCCGGAUUUAUUGGGUUUAAAGGGAGCGUAGGCGGCCCGUUAAGUCAGGGGUGAAAGACGGUGGCUCAACCAUCGCAGUGCCUUUGAUACUGACGGGCUUGAAUGUAGUUGAGGUGGGCGGAAUGUGACAAGUAGCGGUGAAAUGCAUAGAUAUGUCACAGAACACCGAUUGCGAAGGCAGCUCACUAAGCUAUGAUUGACGCUGAGGCUCGAAAGCGUG
rnacentral:rRNA from 1 species